AAGAAAUUAGGUUCAAACUUUAA
rnacentral:tRNA from 1 species